CAAAAGAGACCUAAAGAGUCCAAGAAAUAUGGUUCAACUCUACAGCAUAGACUUUGCUCAUUAGCUGAUACAUUGAUACACAGAGAUGGAGCAAAUUAUCUGCAAUUUAAGAACCUUAAUUCAAUGGACAUCCAGGCCAGAAUUUCUAAAAGCGAAGAAAAAUAUUUGACACAUUGCACAGGCUAGCUGAAGCAGCAUAUGGAUGAGCAUUGUUAGGGCACUGG